rnacentral:rRNA from 1 species
CGGAGGAAAAGAAACCAACAGGGAUUGCCUCAGUAGCGGCGAGUGAAGCGGCAAAAGCUCAAAUUUGAAAUCUGGCACCUUCGGUGUCCGAGUUGUAAUUUGAAGAUUGUAACCUUGGGGUUGGCUCUUGUCUAUGUUUCUUGGAACAGGACGUCACAGAGGGUGAGAAUCCCGUGCGAUGAGAUGCCCAAUCCUAUGUAAGGUGCUUUCGAAGAGUCGAGUUGUUUGGGAAUGCAGCUCUAAGUGGGUGGUAAAUUCCAUCUAAAGCUAAAUAUUGGCGAGAGACCGAUAGCGAACAAGUACAGUGAUGGAAAGAUGAAAAGAACUUUGAAAAGAGAGUGAAAAAGUACGUGAAAUUGUUGAAAGGGAAGGGUUUGAGAUCAGACUCGAUAUUUUGUGAGCCUUGCCUUCGUGGCGGGGUGACCCGCAGCUUAUCGGGCCAGCAUCGGUUUGGGCGGUAGGAUAAUGGCGUAGGAAUGUGACUUUGCUUCGGUGAAGUGUUAUAGCCUGCGUUGAUGCUGCCUGCCUAGACCGAGGACUGCGAUUUUAUCAAGGAUGCUGGCAUAAUGAUCCCAAACCGCCCGUC